rnacentral:lncRNA from 1 species
GCUGAGCAGCCCCGGAGGCUCAGUGAGCAUGGGGAGGGGCUAGACGCGGGAGAAACAACCAUUAGAGAGUUGGGGCCGGGAAGCUCGGGACUCUAUUUCCCAGAGGGCGUAGCGGCUGCGACCGGACGCGGCGCGCCUGAGGCCCAGUGCGCAGGCGCUUGCUUUGCCUUGGUCUAUAUAAGGAAGGU